UACGUAGGGGGCAAGCGUUGUCCGGAAUCAUUGGGCGUAAAGAGCGUGUAGGCGGCUCGGUAAGUCCGCUGUGAAAAGUCCAGGGCUCAACCCUGGAAUGCCGGUGGAAACUGUCGAGCUAGAGUCCGGAAGAGGCGAGUGGAAUUCCUGGUGUAGCGGUGAAAUGCGCAGAUAUCAGGAGGAACACCAAUGGCGAAGGCAGCUCGCUGGGACGGUACUGACGCUGAG
rnacentral:rRNA from 1 species